rnacentral:rRNA from 1 species
UGCCAGCAGCCGCGGUAAUACAGAGGGUGCAAGCGUUAAUCGGAAUUACUGGGCGUAAAGCGCGCGUAGGUGGAUGUUUAAGUCGGAUGUGAAAGCCCCGGGCUCAACCUGGGAACGGCAUUCGAUACUGGGCAUCUAGAGUAUGGUAGAGGGAAGUGGAAUUUCCGGAGUAGCGGUGAAAUGCAUAGAUACCGGAAGGAACACCAGUGGCGAAGGCGGCUUCCUGGGCCAAUACUGACGCUGAGGUGCGAAAGCGUGGGGAGCAAACAGGAUUAGAUA